ensembl:lncRNA
CACAGAGUGCCAAAUUCUGGGCUCGAUUAGAGACGAGCUCUUGCACAAAGUUGGCUGCAAGGAAGUUAGAUGCAAGAGUGGUUUCACUGCACAGAGCAAGAAACUGAGGUGACCUUUAAUUAGGUCGUUGUUACAAAAGGAGCAUCUGUUUUCAUUACUCUCACAGUAAUCAAAUUUGAAGUAAUGAUGUGUGUGUUACCUGAUGAGCCACAACAUGUCAGAGAAUGCACCCCGAUAAGAUUAUUUAGCCUUGAGGGCCAAUCCCAGCUUCACUCUACACCCACACGCAGGCGCACACGCACACACUCACAGCACAAUGCCUCUCAUGUUUACGUUCAACUGAAUCUGGACAGUAGAACAAACCCGAUAAGUGUGUGAAAAUCAAUGUAGAAACAAAAAUCCAUAAAAUAAAUGAGAAUUUAACAGUACGCUACUUAGCUAAACUAGUUAUAAUAAUAGUAAUAAAGUACGUUACCCCAUGUAGUGAAGCUUUAACGUGAAAUUCACCCUGAAGCUGUUAAUAAAGUAGCUCUUGCAGGUUAGCUAAGAGUGAGCAAACACUCGAAUCACAAGUUAAUGUCUUACCUGCGCACGGACACACCCCAAGGUUUCCUCUAAGAAAAAAAAAUAGUCCCAGCACCUGUUUACGACAUAUUUCACCACCGCUUCACGGAUAGUUUGAUAGUUUAAAAAACAAAAACAAAUAAACAAGGCAAAAUCAAAAACUCCCACAUACCUUUAGCAAACACUCAAUAAAAGUGUGAACAACUGAGACUAACGUCUAACGUACCCCAGAGGUGUCAGACGUUGGCCGUAGCCAGCAGCUUCACUGAGAUUUAUUAUCUGCAAGCUUGCGUCUAAAAAUCAGCGACCGCACAAAAAAUUAAAAAGGAAAGGCGCUCAAGCAACGGCUCAGCAGCCCGUCAGCCUCCAGUGAGUGUUUCUAAAGACACAGCGGUGCUUCGUUUCUGUCCACAGCCUCUCUCAGCGGUCAUAUCCCUCGGUCGGUGAAAGGAUCUGAAUGGCCGGGGCUCCUACUCCGGACAGCCGCGCAGGGUUUUUUUUUUUUUUUUUUUUAAACUAGUCCCCCACACCCCUUCAGAGUGUGGCGGAAGGCGCUGACCUCCGGUCUGAUUAAGUGUUCGUUAUAGUACUACUACUGUCGGUAGAAGGCACAGCUGACUCCAGCUGGGCGGAUCAGGUAAACCGUAAAAACACCUGGCAGCGUGUCCAAACAGGAGUGAUGAAGCAAUGCAACAUAGCAGGGCGGCGUGUUGUUAUCUGCCCUCCACGAUGGAAACGAUGUAUUUACAUUAAUGCCACCA